rnacentral:tRNA from 1 species
GGUUGUAUAGUGUAGCGGUUAGCACGUGGGAUUUUGACUACACAUCAGAAUCUUGUUCUAUCAAGAACACUUCCCGAAUCCCAGGUUCGAGCCCUGGUACGACCU